rnacentral:tRNA from 7 species
GGGGCGUUAGCUCAGUCGGUUAGAGCAUCGGACUCAUAAUCCGCCGGUCCACGGUUCAAGCCCGUGACGCCCCACCA